GUUUGAGGUGUAGCAUCAAUCUGCUGGUCACAGAGUUAUUUCCUGCCUUGUGCCUGCUGCUUCUGGGAUAGACCCCCAUGGGAACUCUAUGACCCUGCGUAGGAUAAGGGGGAAUACAAAAUGGAUGGAUGAAUGGAAAAAAUAAAUACACAAGGGUUUUCUUGUCUUAUGGAAGGUGCACCUAGGAGGUUAACCUGGACAGCAUACAGAAAAGACAUAUGGAAGAAGAACACAUGGAAACCCUGGAAAGCAAACUUCAAGCAAGCAGGCUUGAACCUGGGCCACUGGUGUUUAAUGGGUAACAGUGCUACCAUGUGCAAUUGUCACUUCUUUGGAGAAGGUUAAAUGAUGUCUCUUGUCAUUUUGUAGCUGUGUAUAUUGCUUUUAAUGAAAUGACACUGAAUAUAACCCAUUUGGAAUAUUUAUGAAACUAGCACUGCAUGAAAUUAGUUUUUGCUUAAUGUGCCUUUGCAUGAAUGCUUUUCUGAUACAAUGUAAUCUUA